GACGAACGCUGGCGGCGUGCUUAACACAUGCAAGUCGAACGGAAAGGCCCUGCUUUUGUGGGGUGCUCGAGUGGCGAACGGGUGAGUAACACGUGAGUAACCUGCCCUUGACUUUGGGAUAACUUCAGGAAACUGGGGCUAAUACCGGAUAGGAGCUCCUGCUGCAUGGUGGGGGUUGGAAAGUUUCGGCGGUUGGGGAUGGACUCGCGGCUUAUCAGCUUGUUGGUGGGGUAGUGGCUUACCAAGGCUUUGACGGGUAGCCGGCCUGAGAGCGUGACCGGCCACAUUGGGACUGAGAUACGGCCCAGACUCCUACGGGAGGCAGCAGUGGGGAAUAUUGCACAAUGGGCGGAAGCCUGAUGCAGCAACGCCGCGUGCGGGAUGACGGCCUUCGGGUUGUAAACCGCUUUCGCCUGUGACGAAGCGUGAGUGACGGUAAUGGGUAAAGAAGCACCGGCUAACUACGU
rnacentral:rRNA from 1 species